GAGCGGCGGGGAGGGGCGGUGGGGAGGGAGGCCGCCGGGCCGGGAGGAGGGACCAGGGCGCUUGGCUCCAGCGGUGCGGCCCCAACCUCACUCCGACCACGGCCACACCUGGCAGCGCCUGCACCAACUUUAUCUCCCUCGGCCUGCCUUUCACACUUUGUCAUAUAUGCAGUCUAUUUGGAGCCUCCUCGGUUAUGGAUAUUCCUUUCUUAAUGGAUACACAUCUAUUAAUUACACAUACUUCCCUGUGGUGAGCCCUCAGGGAGUUAACCAGGCCCCUCCCUCGGGGACAUUUGCACUUGCCACCUGUCUAGAUGUGACAUUGUCAUUCAUAGGGACCCAGCAAAGGUAAUUGUGUUCACCUUAUUCUUUAUACCUUCUCUUUUUAAAAAAAGUCCAUAAUCUCUGGAGGUUUGUACUAAUUGAUUUUAAUGAAGCUUCCCUCUAGGCCAGAAGAAAAUCUUAGCUUUAUUUAAAUUUCAAAAUAGAGUGCUUGGUUGUCAAGUGCAUUUGCCUGUGUUUUACACAUGUACCACGUUUGUUCUACUCUGCUCCUUUUGGGAAAACAAAAACUAAAAUAAUUUUAUUAUCCCAAAUUAUGGCACUCCAUUGCACCCACUACCCUGUCUCAAGUCUGGUAAUUAAGCCAUGUGUGUGUGUUUCUGCUGCAGAAGAAAGAACAGUGCUUGGUUUAGGCUAGAAGGAGGAGAAAUACAGUCAAGGGACAUAUUUACUCUUCAUUUAAAUGAGAAGUCAGUCAAUCAAGACUAUACCAUCCUGUGAGCAUUUAAAACAUAAUGUUGUCCGGUAAAGCACACUUAUGUUGAGUUUUUCAACAUUUUGCUAAAAAUCGAUUUCCUUCUUGUUCCCAUUCCCACACUCAGUUUCAGUCAUAGUUUUACCUGCAAAAUGUGUCCUCCAAUAGCUUUUUUUCCAAGUACCUAAGAAACAUUGUAUAUUAUCAGCAGUUUAUGACCCAAUAGUGCAUAUUUUUUAUUAACACAUGUGCCCUGAAAUGGGCAGUUUUCCUUAGGACAAAUUUCACUUACCCUCUGGUACAGAUACAUAGAGAAAUAGUACUUCCUUUUCCAUGAGCUAUAUGCAUCUCAGGUGUUAUUUCUAAUAAUUGUUAAGGUUUUUCAUGUAACUGUAAAUAAAGACAUACAGUAUUUCUGCCACUGUAAAAAAUUUACAAUCUGUCACAGGAAUUGGAGCUGAAUUCCCUCAUCCAUGGCAUUUUCUGGCCCUUCUCUUCUAUCUUCCCUCUCAGGAGGUGACAAACUUGUUAAGAUGAGAAUUGGGUUGGGUGAAGCUAGGACAGUGUGUUGUUAAAGUUCACUUUGGUGCCAGGAAUGAUUUCCUGGGCCCAAGUGAGAAUGGCUGCAGUGCGCAGGUGGACCUGAUCAUGAGCCAGGGACCAACUUGGCUGGUACCUGAAGCCAAAGCCAGACAAGGGUCUAAAGAACAGGAGUUAGAAUUCUAGAUCUUGAGUUAGAAUUUUGGCAGCUGUGCAGUGCCUUCAGCUGCCCAGUCUGGGAGGCCUGCAGCUGAGAGCAGGCAGAAUAUCUGGCAGACUCACACCACACCCAGAUGCAAUACAAAAACUUCAGCCAAAAAUGGUGACAAAACAGCCUCCCAUGGAGUUGAAUGCUGGGCACCUCCACCCUGCAGCAUCUGAGGAGCACCCAGAACUUUGAAGAAGUGGCACCUCUGUCCUCUGGAGGAAAAACUGUCUAUGUGGAAUUAAUAAUUUCAGAAAGAAAGUGGAGAGUCUCCAAGUUGCUCAGUCAAGAGAGCUCAGAGAUGGAAAGCGCCAGAAAUGUGCAGGUUCACAGCUGAUAGAGAGGACUUUUCAGGAGGGAGGCAUCAACAAGGCCUGCACUGUUAUGGGAGAAGGAAUGCUGGAUGGGACCCUAGCGUGGGAUAAAGCCGUGUCGCUAAGUUGAUAUUUUUGCCAGGGGAAACAACGUGUCCAAAUUAAAACUAAUUCUCCCCAGCCUUUCUCUGGGAUACAGGCAGCAAUUGUGAUUAAGUUCUUCUCAUUGAAAUGUAAGUGAAAGUUGCUCAAUGUGGCUCCUGGGAAAACUUCCUGAAAGACAUACUGACUCAACUGCUGGGCACCACUUUCACUUGGCCCUUCUUCCUUUCUGUUUCUGAGCACUGUGUGACAACUGGAACUAUGGUAGCUGUUUCUUGAACAGGAGGAUGAAGGCCAUAUUUUCAGUGAUGUCCUAGAACAGUCGUAUCAACCCUGGACCACUUGCCUCUGGAUUCUCAUUCUAUGAGAGAGAAAUAAACUGUAUUUAAAUCACUGCCUCUCAGGUUUCUAUUGCUCAUAGUUGAGUGCAGUUCUGAUAGUCUAAAUAUUCAUUCAGGGUUAUUCUCCAUUCAGUUUGUUCAACAUUUUAUCAUUGGCUUUGAACAGAAGCCUGUGCAACAGAGAUGUGCAAAACUCAUUCAAGUUCCCUGACCUACAUCACAAAGGACUCAGCUUUACAGGGUCCCCCAGCUGAAUUAAACCACUGUGGAACCGGGACUGGGCGGCAGGUCAAGUCCUUCAACUCUAGCACAGUGUCGGGAAGUGCACAGGUGGGAUUGAAGGCAGAGCCCUGGGAUCAUUGCAACAGUGCCCACCUGUUGCCACAGCUGGAAGGAGAGACUCGUGAUAGGAUGGAACAAGUAUCGGUGGAACUUCCUCUUGCCUUUGACACUAGAGUCUCACAGACCUCCCUGUUGAGUUCAUCAAAUGCUCAAAUCUGCCUGUCAAGAUCUCUUAGCAGGUAUUAAACAUUCUGUGGACACAUGAACACUUCUCACUGCCUUUUCUGCCUGCCCUUGGCCUUGGAAUGGUUCAGCUUCCAACACCACUACUGCAAACAUAACUGCCACUGUCAAGGGAGCAGGACAAAAGCUCACUGUGGCAGACGUCAUUCCCAUUCCAUCUCUACCUCCACUUCCUUUUCCCUUUUUUAUUAUAUUCUUCCAAAUCAUUUGAUUAAUAAAGUGUUUACCAAUAGAUUAUGUUUGUGGAAUCUAAAACAGGUCAACUGUGUCCUGAAACAUAUUUGUAGAGGCAGGCACAGUGCCACUGAGCUAAAUCCAUGGCCCUCUGAAAUGUUUGUAAAGUUGUUACUUAACAUUUAAAUCACUUGAUUCUUCUCAGCCUCAGUUCAUUAUCUGUAAGAUGGGAAUAAAUAAUGAUGUCAUUAUACCACAGUCAUUAUCAUCACUGUAACCAUAACUACCAUUUUCCCCAUUUACUGUAGGAAGUCUAUGGAUUAGUGGUUAAGCACACAGCCUGUUAUGCCAAAUUACCUCUGUUACCAAAUCCCUGGAUAGCCAUGGCAAUUGGCUGAAAUGCUUUAUACAGGGGACCCUUGACUUACGAACUCAAUUCAUUCUCAAGGGCCAGUUGUAACUCAAAUCAGUCACUUGAAGGCUCAGGCUCUUGUACACACCCUUCAAAGUCUCUCUCCUGUAUACAGGCAGAUCUCAGUGUCCUUAGACAUUGGCCCAGGAUUUCUUGAUUAACCCCACAGAAGAAAGGAAGUUGUAAUGUUCCUUCCAGAACUCCUUAAGGGUUAAAUCUGUAUCUGAGACCAUCUAGAAGCACAAGCAGCUGGCAUUCUGCUUGUAACUCAAUACUUUGUUCAAAAGUUAAAACUAAAAUUCUGUUCGUAACCCAAAUUGUUAGUAUAGCAGGCUGCUCAUAAUUUAAGGGUCCACUGUAACUCUAUUUCUCCACCUAUAAAAUGAGAACAAUAAUGAACCCAUCAUACAGGGCUGUUGUGGAAAUUAAGGAAACAAAUCAGUGCCACAGCCAUUAGAAAAGGCCAUAACAAGUAAGAUAGUGCCAGGCAGGAGAACAGGCUGUAUUAACCCUCCCCAUAGAGACAGGAGCCAUUAUCAGUUUUCAUUUUACCGAUAAGUAAACUGAGCCUUAGAAGAAUGAAGUGGUUUAGAUGUUAAACAAUUGUGCUUUCACAUGUUUUUGAUGACCUAUAGGCUUCUCUCCUUUUCUUUCUUGUUUUGAGAAACCCUGUAUUCCAUGGAUCAGGAGCCAUCACUGGUUGUGAUUUGGACCUUAAAUGUCUACACAAACCAUGUGUUGAGGGCUUGCUCCCCAGCCUGUGGUGCUAUUAGUAAGUGGUGGAAUUUUAGGAGGUAGAGCCAGGAGGAAAGAAGUUAGGUCAUUAGCAGCAUGCUCAGGAAGGGGAUGUUGGGACCCUCAUCUCUGCCUCUCUUAUGCUCUCUCCUUGCUUUCCAGCUGGCAUGAGGUGAACAUUUCUCUUCUAUCACACACUGCCACCAUGAUGUUCUGCCUUGCCACAAGUCCAAAGGCAACAGUGGACUAAAUCUCUCAAACCAUGAGCCAAAAUGAACUUUGCCUCCUCUUAAAUUGAUUUUCUGAGGUAUUUUAUCACAGCAACAGAAAGCUGAUGAACGUAUCACCCACACUUCCCAAAUCAAUGUUGGGCUUUACCACUUGUCUCUCCAUCUCUGAAACCUAAGCUGAAGCUACCUUCUUUCACCUUCUCCCAGUGCUAACUCCCAACAUCCCUGCUGCAGUUAGGCUCCUCCCCCAUCCUGGGCCACAUGGGGUCAGGGUC